rnacentral:lncRNA from 1 species
CUUUUAUUCCUUUUUAUUUGCUUUGUAAUAAUUUGUAAUCACAUUAUUCACUUUUGCUUUUUAUUAUCUUUACGCAGUUUUAUCCAGCUUUAUUUGCUUUUCUAUUCAUCUUUUUCUUCAGAUUUAUUUGCUUUUUAGUCUCUUAUUUUUAAAUAACUUUUUUUUUUUUUUUAAAUGCCCCAUAGCGACCCAGAGAAACUCAUAGAGCCCCACAGCCCCUGUAGACAUCUCAUAGAGCUGCACAGCGACCACUAGAGACUCAUAGAGACCCCAUAGCGAUCACAUAAUGAUCACAUUGCGGUGGGUCUGGGCUGGGUGUGAGGCCAAGGUGGGGUUAAUAAAGGCCUGGGGGCGUGGUCUGGGCUGUGGGAGGGCUCUGGGAGGGGUGGGGUUAAUAAAGGCCUGGGGGUGUGGUCUGUGCUGUGGGAGGGCUGUGGGAGGGGCGGGGUUAAUGGAGGUCUGGGGGUGUGGUCUGUGCUGUGGGAGGGGCUAAUGUAGGAGGGUGGGUGUGGUCUAGGCUCAGGGGGGUGGGUACCCCUCCCAGAGCCCUUCCACAGCACAGACCACGUCCCUUCCAGAGCCCUUCCACAGCACAGACCAUGCCCCCAGGCCUUUAUUAACCCUGCCUUGGCCUCACACCUAGCCAAGACCCACCAUAAUGUCAUUAAAAAGGGAAUAAAAAGUGAAUCAGCCUGACUGCAACUUGAAAAGUGAACAAAAAUUGACUAAAAACCAAAUAAAAAGUGAAUUAAACCGAAGAAAUUCAACGAAAAGUGAAAACAAGCAAUUAUAAAUUAUGAAAAAGUGAAUAAAAAUGAAUGAAAGAGACUAAAAAAUUCACGGGUGUUGGGGCACUUACGGGCCACGGGGGGUAGGGGGUUCCCUAUCGGGUGCUAUGUAUACAGAUUCUGCUGCUGUUACUGCAAUGCCAGUGGUCAAUAAAAGCUGUGGGGUGUGAGUUGUGGGUCUAUAGGAUGCUAUGGGGCAGUGGAGGGUGUCUAUGGGGUGAUAUGGGUUGCCAUGGGGCAGUGUGUGGGUCACUCUGUGGUCUCUGUGGGUAGUUAUGGGGAUCUAUGGGUCACUAUGGGGUCUAUAUGGGUCCAAUGGUUGCUGUCGGGUGUCUGUGGGUCACUGUAUGGCUCUAUGCGAUGCCUGUAGGGUGUACAGGGCUUUAUGGAGUGUCCAGGAGAAUGCUGGAGGUUCACUGCUGAGCUGCACGUACCAUGGUGCUGCCGCUGUGGCGUGGGGAGCUGGUGCACGUCUUCGAUGCACAGAGGUUUCGGCAGGGUAAGGGUUAAUCUCUCCUCAUCCUGAUCCAUGGGCUCUUCUUCAUCAUCCUCCUCACCAUCUCCAUCCCCACAGAGGUGCAGCAGC